UACCUACGGGAGGCAGCAGUGGGGGAUAUUGCACAAUGGGGGGAACCCUGAUGCAGCGACGCCGCGUGGGUGAAGAAGCGCCUUGGCGCGUAAAGCCCUGUCAGCAGGGAAGAAAAUGACGGUACCUGAAGAAAAAGCAUCGGCUAACUCUGUGCCAGCAGCCGCGGUAAUACGGAGGAUGCGAGCGUUAUCCGGAUUUAUUGGGUUUAAAGGGUGCGUAGGCGGAAUAUCAAGUCAGCGGUAAAAAUUCGGGGCUCAACCCCGUCGUGCCGUUGAAACUGAUGUUCUUGAGUGGGCGAGAAGUA
rnacentral:rRNA from 1 species